UACGGAGGGUGCAAGCGUUAUCCGGAUUCACUGGGUUUAAAGGGUGCGUAGGUGGGCAGGUAAGUCAGUGGUGAAAUCUCUGGGCUUAACUCAGAAACUGCCAUUGAUACUAGCUGUCUUGAAUACCGUGGAGGUCAGCGGAAUAUGUCAUGUAGCGGUGAAAUGCUUAGAUAUGACAUAGAACACCAAUUGCGAAGGCAGCUGGCUACACGAAUAUUGACACUGAUGCACGAAAGCGUGGGGAACAAACAGG
rnacentral:rRNA from 1 species